GAACGCGAAGAACCUUACCAGGUCUUGACAUUGAUGGACAGAACCAGAGAUGGUUCCUCUUCUUCGGAAGCCAGAAAACAGGUGGUGCACGGUUGUCGUCAGCUCGUGUCGUGAGAUGUUGGGUUAAGUCCCGCAACGAGCGCAACCCCUAUCUUAUGUUGCCAGCACCUUGGGUGGGGACUCAUGAGAGACUGCCGCAGACAAUGCGGAGGAAGGCGGGGAUGACGUCAAAUCAUCAUGCCCCUUAUGACCUGGGCUACACACGUACUACAAUGGGAGUUAAUAGACGGAAGCGAGAUCGCGAGAUGGAGCAAACCCGAGAAACACUCUCUCAGUUCGGAUCGUAGGCUGCAACUCGCCUACGUGAAGUCGGAAUCGCUAGUAAUCGCAGGUCAGCAUACUGCGGUGAAUACGUUCCCGGGUCUUGUACACACC
rnacentral:rRNA from 1 species